rnacentral:rRNA from 1 species
AGUGAACGCUGGCGGUAGGCCUAACACAUGCCAGUCGAACGGCAGCACAGUAAGAGCUUGCUCUUACGGGUGGCGAGUGGCGUACGGGUGAGGAAUACAUCGGAAUCUACUUUUUCGUGGGGGAUAACGUAGGGAAACUUACGCUAAUACCGCAUACGACCUACGGGUGAAAGCAGGAGAUCUUCGGACCUUGCGCGAUUGAAUGAGCCGAUGUCGGAUUAGCUAGUUGGCGGGGUAAAGGCCCACCAAGGCGUCGAUCCGUAGCUGGUCUGAGAGGAUGAUCAGCCACACUGGAACUGAGACACGGUACAGACUCCGACGGGAGGCCGCAGUGGGGAAUAUUGGAAGAUGGGCGGAAUCCUGAUCAAGCCAUACCGGGUGGGUGAAGAAGGCCUUCGGGUUGUAAAGCCCUUUUGUUGGGAAAGAAAAGUAGCAGGUUAAGCCCACGCUGUUCUGACGGUACCCAAAGAAUAAGCACCGGCUAACUUCGUG